UGCUAUUUACAUCAAAUCCGAUUUCUUAAAGAGCGGCAUAAUAGUUUUAUAAUUGUUUUAAACAUAUGCUCUAAUCGCAUACUGUACUUGUAUUUCUCAUUUACGAAAAACUACAAAUUCUUCCAGUGUUGAACGCACUGCAACGCACCAAAGGAGGCAGUUGUACGGCACACACACACACAUAUAUAUAUAUAUAUAUAUAUAUAUAUAUAUAUAUAAGGUAAAUGUAAACACUAAAUAUAUGAAAUGGAAAAAAGUGGUUUAAGUUGCACAUUAAGUGCGGCUUUACGUUACACCCGGAAGUGUACAAGCUAACGUUCGCCUCUGCUCUUCAGUUCUGUAGGACGCAGUUCAGGUGUGUGUUCCCGCUUUUUUGCUACAUAAAUUGUAGGACUAUUCAUUCUAUAUAUUUACUUUAGCGGCAAUUCACGUAAAAAACAAAACGAGCUUGUAGCUUUUAGCAUGUUUCGUUGUAGGUCGAAACACUCACGCCUUUUAUAUUUUCAGUGCAGCUUUAAGUUAAAACCGGAAGCGUACAAGCUAACGUUCAACUCUGCUGGUGAGUUCUGGGGGACGCAAUUAAGGUGUUUUCCCGCUUUUUUCGCUACUUUAAUGUAAGAAUAUUUAUUCUAUGGUUUAGCGGUAAUUCACGUAAAAAUAAAAUUAACUUGUAGCCUUUAGCAUGUUUUGUUGUAGGUCUUAACCACGUGUCAAACUUGUGCCCUGGAGGGCCGAGACGCUGCAGGUUUUCUCUCCAGCCAGUUUCUUCAGCAGGUAAUUUAAUUGAUGAGCUCCUUCCCUCAAACUGAAGGUGUUGAUCAUUAAAAUCACCUGCUUUAGUGACUGGCUGGAAAGAAAACCUGCAGUGUCUCAGUCCUCCAUGGCACAAGUUUCUAAACGAACACACAGCAAAAUAUUUUUGACAGGCACAGCUGUGCCUUCUGACGGUGACAUGAGGACAAAUGACAGAACUUUGAAGAACAUUUAAUACCCAAUAAAAGGAAACUGUUACAGCCAAACAUGUCAUAAAAAUAUCUAACAUUUCCCACAGCAAAAACAUGAAUCCUAAAUAUAGAUUGGUUUUUGCCACCUCUUUCAUUUUUUUAAAUCUAGUGCUGGUUUUGCUUUUCCAGUAGAAAAAUAUGCACAAGCAAAAACCCUCUCAUUUUGAACAGUGCAUCUUGCAUUGCGGUCGUUGUGUGUUAUUGCUCAUAUGUGUGCACCAGGAUAGUAUAAAAAGGAAAAAGGGUUUUUUUAUAUUGUGAAUGCAUUGACCGUAGUAGCUCUCUGUGAGGUAGUGCAGCUUUGCUAUGAUGAAUGAUGCCAUUUAAGUGGAAAAUUAUGCAAAACAAAACACUUACAGUACAAAUUAAAAAAUGUAAGAAAUAUACCUACUAAUUAAAAUUAUUUUUAAAAAUCUGCCUGAGUGCUAAAGUUAGCUAUUCAAUUUUAUUUUUUUUACUCAAAAGGACAUGUCACCUUAAAAAAAAAAUGCAUGUUGAUAGUAAAUUAAAAAGAGCAUCCACAACACAUAUUGGUGUAAACAAUAAAAAAUAAAAAUUAACAAGUUAAAAUAAAAUAUUACCACAUAAAAAUAAUGUUUUAUGUAGUUUUAAAUAUGGAUACUGUUUAAAUAAAAAAAAUCCAAAUCACCUUAAACUGAAUGCAUGUAGGUAGUAAACUUAAAAAAAAAAACAACAAAAAAAAACACCCACAACACGGUGCACUUUUUUUUUUCAGUGUAAAACUGGAGCUGGUGUAACGGCUACACUUUUGAAACGCUGCUACAUGAGCAUAAUUUAAAACCCUCGAGCAUUAUUUUCCUUCACAGAGAGUCUAUUUCGCCAUUGAAUGUAAAGCUUUGCAUAUAACGGUGCAUUUGGGUGUGUCAGUGGGAUCCAGAGGAACAGGAAGUCCAUAUUUUGGGGGGGUAAAAAGUGUCAUGGGUGGCAAAACUGGCUGAUGUAGGCUUCAUAGAUGGCGUCCAGGAAGGAGCUGUCUGUCUGAAAGGAAACAUGACAUUAUAUAUCUAACAUCUACUGUCUGCGUGUGGUUUUGAAAAGCGGUACCUUGAUAAGGUGCAGCAAGGUGGCUUGGAGUUGGCUUCUGGACAAGACUCUAGAGGGGGUGGAGUCUUGAGACACGGCCGGCAGGGCACCGUCCGAUUUCACCUGAGAGAAGACGCUGGGGGAGAGUAGCAAGGUCGGGGCCACGUUGCCCGGGAUCCUCUGGGGGGAAGGUGCCUGAAUGCACCACGUGAAGUUACUUUGAAGCUAAUUGCUGUACCUAAUGAAGUGUCCAAGGUGAGUGCUACUAACCAGUUGACCUGCUGCUGACGCCACUGUGCCCUGGAACCGGGGAGCCAGAGCGGGUCCGAGACGUGAGGGCUCUGGGGGGGUCAAGCUCUGCUCCUGCUGGACCAGCUGGAGCUUGUGGAGGAGCUCGUGAGGAGGCAGCAUGCCGGGAAUGUGGGGCUGGUGAGGACACGUCGCUGAGGCGGCCAUUAUGGGCUGACUGGAGAGGAGGGAGCUCAGCUGUGAGGGGGCGGAGCAGCAAGGGUCAGGAUGGGGAUGAGGUGGGGGCUGAUACUGGAAAAGUCUCUUGAUUGGGUCUAGUUGCUGGUGGUGGUAGGGGGCAUGAUGAUGAUGAUGGUGGUGGUGGUGGUGUUCGUCCAGCAGGACACCAUUGUCACAGAGCCUGUUCUCCGGGGACUCGGACAGCGUCUGGAGGACCCCCCCUGCCGGACCCCUCUGCCCCUGCAUGAGCUUCUGGAUGGCAGGACAGGGUUGCUGCUGCCGCUGUUGAUGGGGUGAAGCAUCUUCCUCAACUUUUUGCCCCCCUGCGGCUUCAUAGGUGAGGGUGCGGGCCACAGGGGGCCGAGUGGCUUUUCCUCCCCCAGGAAGGGCGGGGUCAUGUUUGGAGGAGCACUGAUGCUGAGAUCCAAACAACAUGGCCAGGGACAGAGACCUGCUCUCACUGCCAUCACCGUCCUAACAAAGAGGAGCACGAGACGGCCAGUAAAGUGGAUGCAGGUGAAAGAGGUGCUGUGUAGGUGUUGUACCUGAAUGUUGGGUUUGACAGGUAUGGGUUUGAUGAGGUUGGGCUUCCCGUAAAGAACACUGCUGCCACCGAUCUCCUUUGGUUCUGAUGUAGACUUUUCCUGCAAGGAUGCAAAAUAAAGAACCCUGAUAAUGUACAGCACCAUCGGGGUGACGUUUCCACUCUGAUUUACACUCAUAUUAAAAAUAUACAGUACGUCUAUAUAAACUGUCUUAUUCUCCAUGCAUCCAUUCAUCUUCUACCGCUUAUCCAAGGUCGGGUCGCGGGGGCAGCAGCCUAAGCAGGGAAGCACAGACUUCCCUCUCUCCGGCUACUUCGUCCAGCUCCAGCCAGCAGAUCCCAAGGUGUUCCCAGGCCAGUUGAGAGACAGUCUCUCCAACGUGUCCUGGGUCUUCCCCGAGGCCUUGUACCGGUCUGGCGUGCCCUGAGGGAGGCGUCCGGGGACAUCCUGACCAGAUGACUGACCUCAUCUGGCUCCUCUCAAUGCGGAGGAGCAGCAGUUCUACUCCGAAUUUCUACUGGAUGACAGUGCUUCUCACCUUAUGUCUAAGGGAGAGCCCAGCCACCCUACAGAGAAAACUCAUUUCAGCCGCUUGUACGCCGCCAUCUUGUCCUUUCCGUCACUACCCAAGGCUCAUGACCAUAGGUGAGGGUAGGAAUGUAGAUCGACUGGUAUAUUGAGAGUGUUGCCUUUCAGCUCAGCUCUCCCCUCACUACAACGGACCGAUGCAGACGCCGCACCAAUCCGCCUGUCCAACUCUCGUUCCAUCCUUCCCUCACUUGUGAACAAGACCCCGAGGUUACCUUGUCAUACUCUGUGUGCGCUUUGGUCAACAUCUGGAUGAUGUCCACCACCUUCCCUUCUUCACCUUGGACAACGCCCAUGCUGCCUCCUCCUCCUGAUGAUGAUGAUGAUGACGGCCCUGCUGCGCCUCUUCCUGGGGACAACCAACCGCCCUGAGACUGGGCCGCCUGCUCAUGCUGGGUCAGACUACACACACACACACACACACAGGAUAAUUUACAAUGUAAUCAUUAGUUAUAAUUAGUUUAAGAGAUGAGCGAGCCAAGAGUUACGCAAGCGCUUACGUUGUCAUCCUCUGGGCGAUGCGCUGGCAGUCCGCCUUGUCGUAGAACCAAAUGCCGUGGAUAACCACUGGGGAGAGAGGGUGGGAUGUUUUUUUUUAUUAUAUGUGCAACAAAGGCCUGCCUCCAAAAAUUAAGUUAUCAGUCUGCCACAUAAUGAAAAUGGCUGCUUCAUUCGGCCCGCUAAGGUCAGCAGACGAUUGAAUGAGAUUCGCUUUGUGACAGACAGAUACUUUUUUCAUCCCCGAGAGAAAUUCAUUGUGCUUUCUUCCUAAAAGUUUCUGCCAUCACGCAGCAGCCCAGCAGAGUCCUAACGGGCCGCGUAUGUUUGCACAACAACACGCAAAGUCGGCCACCAAGGAGCCUGGGAAAAAGUCAGCCCAGCACCAAAUAAGUCACUGCCUGCUGGACGCACUUAGUGCUCACUGGGGAUGGAACCCAACCAGAGAGAGGCAAGAAGAUGGGUGUGUUAGUGGGGACGAGAUGGUCCACAACACGGAAGAGGAGAGGAGAGGAGAGGAGAGGGAGUGUGUGAAAGAGUGAGGGGAGAUAGAGGGGGCUUAAGUCACCAAAGAGAAGCGAGUGGGACAUCUCUCCGUUGUAUGACUCACAGGGACGACUUCAGGGGAGGUUUUAGAAGAUUCCUGUGCUGUCAAACUUCACUUUUCACCAGGAUUUGCCUUUCUGAUGACUUGUGCUCUAAUUUGAGUCCAGAUUGAGUUUGCAGGCACCCACUUCCUGCCGAAAUAUGGCACUGAGGACACUGCAGGCGCCCAUGCGUUAAUUUACAGGAGGACCUCCAUGCUUUUACUGGGUGGGCAUCGACUUUGAGUCAACCAUGCUGAGAGGCCUUUUCACCAGGAAACCCAAGCACCAACGGCUGCAGGAGGAACCCGAAGUGCGCUUUAAAGGCCACCUGGUGUCCGAGACCAACCUGGGCUACACGUACGUGCAACCUGGAGGGUGUACCCUCGCACGAAGUCAGCUGGGAUAGGCCCCAGCACACACCCGCGACCCUAAUGAGGACAAGCGGCAUGGAAAAUGGAUGGAUGCAUGGAUGGGAU